GAUAUACUCCCUCCGUCCAGAAAUACUUGUCGGAGAAAUGAAUAAAAAUGGAUGUAUCAUGUAUGUAGAACUAAAAUAUGUCUACAUACAUAUAUUUCUCCGAUAAAUAUUUCCGGACGGAGGAAGUAUAUU
rfam:Triticum aestivum genome assembly, contig: Triticum_aestivum_CS42_TGACv1_scaffold_020460_1AS